UUCCCUUCCCAUUCAAACACAUGCAUGACACAAGGGCCUUGUGGCUGUGGUCUUCCUUCCUCUACUUAAAUCUGGGAUUUACUUGGUCCCCCCAACUAUUUACAUGUGAAACCUACCUGCCUAUCUUAGUGAUGGGACUAUGAAACUCCUCGGAAGCAACAGAUCCGUCUAAGCACAUGCUGAUCGCCCAGGAAUUGCUGCAGUCGUUGUCAAUAGCAUCCCCCAAGGCACAUUAUCAAGUUGUUGUUGUACAAAGAUUUUUGGAAGAUCAGGUUUGUGCAAGAAAAGUAUCAAGACAAACAAGCCAUAAGUGAAUGGCUUAUAUUAUUAUUAUUUUCUUAAGCCCCAAAUACCAGAAGAUGCAGCUUAUUAUCGAAGACUUGCACUGCAAAGGUGUGACGACUCACUGGAGAAAGACCGCUAUACACCUGCUCGAUGACUCCAGCGGGGUGUGCUUCUAACACUGUAGAGGUUCAUCCAUGCGAGGUAAAUAAGCCCCAGUGAAGUGCAACUCUGCAAGAUGCCCACAUGUUCUUAUCAGGUUAAUUGACUUGAAAACAUUUCAGAAUCAGCCGCUAAGAAGGCUGAAAUUGCUAAGGCAUAAGGACUACUCCAUGGGGUCUAGCCUUCAGAGUAGCUUGCAGCUGGGUAUAUCUGAAGCUUGUCA